rnacentral:rRNA from 1 species
UACGUAGGGGGCAAGCGUUGUCCGGAUUUAUUGGGCGUAAAGAGCGUGUAGGCGGUUUGGUAGGUCCGUUGUGAAAACUCGAGGCUCAACCUCGAGACGCCGAUGGAAACCAUCAGACUAGAGUCCGGAAGAGGAGAGUGGAAUUCCCGGUGUAGCGGUGAAAUGCGCAGAUAUCGGGAAGAACACCGGUGGCGAAGGCGGCUCUCUGGACCGACACUGACGCUGAGGCGCGAAAGCGUGGGGAGCAAACAGG